UAUUUAUGUUUCUUGAUAAUAUUUUUAUAUUAAUUUACACACAUGAUUUUUUAUAGUUUAUAAGUGAAUGAAAUUUUCAAAAUCAUGCUGAACGAAAGAAACAGGAGGUAGUUUGAAAAGUGAUGGCACUAUUGCAGUCAUGUUGUAUGACCGUCUCACUGCGCACGGGAUGCACAAUAAUAGGGGUACUUAUGUUGGUAACGUCGUUUUUGCUCUGCGGCUAUCCCAGCUACGAAGGCUUUGCUUCCAUUUUAUCUUUUUUCAUAUACAUAGACUGCAUAAUAACAGCAAUAACCAGCAUUUUGUUUCUGGUGUUUGGGAUGAUUAUGGAUAGAUUAUGGGCAAUGGCAAUGUAUGCAAAUGUAUUGGCUAUCAAAAUGUUCGUGGAUUUAAUACUUUUUAUUGCAGCGCUAAUUAUAGGAAGCAAAUUUACUUUCAAUCUAGUAAACGCAAUAUUUAUGACGCUAUAUAACAUUUACUGUUUUUGGGUGGUAUACAGUUAUUACAAGGAAAAUGCUGACGAAGUUAUUGCAUUUUGAGACACGAUUUACAUGUUUUGGUUCGAUGUACAUUGCUGCUUUACUUAGCGCAAUACUGCUCUUUGAGUGUUGCCCUACUUCACUUUGCUGUACAUUGCUACUGACAUACUUUGCUUGGCAGACUAUAUCUAUGAAAUGUU